rnacentral:rRNA from 1 species
AUUGAACGCUGGCGGCAUGCCUUACACAUGCAAGUCGAACGGCAGCACGGGGCAACCUGGUGGCGAGUGGCGAACGGGGGAGUAAUGCAUCGGAACGUACCUUUCAGUGGGGGAUAACGUAGCGAAAGUUACGCUAAUACCGCAUAUUCUGUGAGCAGGAAAGCAGGGGAUCGCAAGACCUUGCGCUGAUUGAGCGGCCGAUGUCAGAUUAGCUAGUUGGUGAGGUAAAGGCUCACCAAGGCGACGAUCUGGAGCGGGUCUGAGAGGAUGAUCCGCCACACUGGAACUGAGACACGGUCCAGACUCCUACGGGAGGCAGCAGUGGGGAAUUUUGGACAAUGGGGGCAACCCUGAUCCAGCCAUGCCGCGUGAGUGAAGAAGGCCUUCGGGUUGUAAAGCUCUUUCGGCCGGGAAGAAAUCGCACGGGCUAAUACCCUGUGUGGAUGACGGUACCGGAAUAAGAAGCACCGGCUAACUACGUGCCAGCAGCCGCAGUAACAC